GGCCUGCUUCAUGCUGGGCUGCUCUUACCAGUGGGUUUCGAUGUGGAUGUACGCUUAUGGGACGUACAGGAUCUGCCCUAUUUCAUCUGUUCGGGCUGCAAGAGCAAGGGAAGGCUGAGCUGGGGCAUCCGCAGCUCCUCCACGCGAUGAGGAUUUGGUGCCCAGCUGGCUGCAUCACCCUUCAGUGCUAUCCUGCGUGCUGCCAGCCAGGAUCAGGCCCACGAGGCCUGGCUGAGGCCGCAGCUCAGCAGCCCCAUCCCCAUCUCUUGGGGGGCUCAGCAUCCAUCAGGAUGACAGUGAGGGUUGGUAAAGCCUUGUGGGGCCUUGGGGAUGCUCUGUAAAUCAUAUUAUUAUCCGUAACGAAGGGAGUGUCUUGCCUUCCCUGUCAGCCCCCAUCCAUCACCCGCUAACAGACUGACACCGCGGGCUGGCAGCUCCUCCCUGCCGCGGCCUCGGGGGGCUCCGCUGCUUUCCUCGGGGCAGCUCCGGGGGGCGAGGGCCCACGCUUUGUGCUCCCUCACUGCCAGCUCUAAACACCUUUGGGAGGCUGCUGAGACCGUUGGGUGUUAGAAGUGCAGGGAAAAUAGACGUUGACAGCAUGGCCAGCUGAAAAUAUGGAGUUUGAAGUCUCUGGGGUAAAGAAUUCCCCCCCACCCAGAACUCCUGUGUUAGCCAAAGCUUGAGCUCCUCAGGUGAUGCAGUUUGUGGGCCCAUGAUAGCACAGCUGGCUCUGAUAAUGUCCCUUUGCUUUCACAGAAAUUGGCUGUCUUUUUAAAGCCUGACCUCCUGUGAUUGUGUGGGUUUUCAUUUUUCCUGGUGUUUUUAGAGAGGAGUGCCUAGCUUGUCCGGUGGCAGAUUGAGAUUCUGACCUUAAGUCUUCAAAAUGAGAAGCACCAAACUUCUCCGGUUUCCAAAGUGUCCUUGGGGGACUGAGCGUUUGCUGCACCAGCUGGGGACUGGGGGCACAGCCAAACUCCAGCAGAGACAGAGGAGAGUUUGUGCCCUUAAGCUGCUUGGGGCUGCAUUUAAUGGCACUGCCACCUUGCCAGAGCUGGUGUCCUUGCUAGAUGGGCACAUUGCAAAUCACACUCGUCCUGCCUGAUCUCCACAGCAAGGAGGACCCAACGCAGAGGAGCGGGCUUCAGGCUAAAAUGGUUUCAAAGAGCUCACUGAUGGGUGGCUCGGAGGCUCUGAUAGUGCACCUGGAUCAGAAAGCAUCCUAAAUAAAGGCAUACGAGUGGAGUUGUUGGGGAGAAGCAGCAAGGAAAGGAGAGAGAAAGGAAGCCGAUGCUUUCCUGCAGGCACCCUUCCUCCAGGCAGCGAAGCUCUAGCUAAUUAAUUAUGUGGGGAUGCAGAGAACCGUGAAUGGAGGCUUUCACUCUUUUAAAGCUAAAGACCCAGAUGUGGACUGCUGCCACGCGGGAUCUUCCCCAGUGGUUCUGGGGGGCAGGAGGUUGUCACCGAGCCAGGACAGACAGCGAGGAUCAGCACCAGGGAGGCUCAGCAUGUCACCUGCUGCUGCCCCACGGUGUGGGGUGAGCACGAGAAGAGCCCUGAGCAAAGGCAACCUGCAAAGGACAGGUCAGCGCGCUGGAGCAGAAGGGAACGGCGCUUCCAGCAGUGGAAUGUCACCACCCCAGCAAUGUCACCUCUCUGGUCCUGGUUGUGCUCACACCAAAUAUUCUCCUAUGCUGCCCUCUUGCUGGUGGCAGGACCAGGGAUCCUGAGCAGUUUGGUCCCUUGGGGAGUGACCAAAUUUCAGCGCAGCUGCUGCAGCCCCCCACAACCAGUUACUCCCAUCUGCUGCUUCUCGUGUGCCAGCAGCACGUAGGUACGGGGACGAUCCCUCUUCCACAGAUGUGGUUACAGCUAAAUGCAGAAAACAGCCUGACCCCCUUGCAGCAGCCCCAGAAACCUGCUGGCCCCUUCCCUAGCAGCCCCUCUGCUUGGCCGUGGAGGAGUGUGUGGUCUCGUGUGGUGCUGCCCCAAUCCUGCUCCCUUCCCACCCGCUGCCGGCGGAUGCUGUGAAGCCCCAUUACUCCGGGUGCUGUGGUUGUGCCUGGCCCUGCUGUUUGGUGCCUGGCUGUUGGCACCAGCUGGAGGUGCUGGCCUGCGUGGGAAGAGCUCCCGGCCGCAGCCAAGUGAUCAGUGCCACGUGUGGAGUGAGGCAGGAGGAGCACGGCGCUGUAGCAUUUCAGCCUGAGGUUACAAGGAAACAGGGGGGAUCAAAUCCUGUUUGUUUUCUCAAGUUGGUUUUAUAUAUGGCCAUCACUAGUCCUGACUGCAGUGGAUACAAACAAGAUGUAGGACGGUGCCUCCUCCAGGAGCUCCACACCACAUCCAGCAUCCCAAAGCAGCUCUGCCUUGAGGUCUGGUGCUCUGGGGAUGUGCUGCGCUGCUCCUUGCUCUGCCUCCUCCUGCCCAGAGCAGCUCCUGGCCACCUCUUCCCUUCUCAGCACUUCCUUGUGGGCCAAGAAGAUGGCAUCAUAACAUCCUAGUUCCAUCACUGUGGCUGCACGAUGGGGAGAGGUCAGCAUGGACCUGGACACUCCAUGCUCUAAUGGCCAAAAUCUUCAGGCAGGAGACAAGGUAACUGAGCAGCACCAGGGCAGCUGCGCUGCGCACUGGGUAAACUGGAGCAACUUCCCAAAGGACUGCAAAGGAACACGCUGUUUAAGCCAGCAAAAGAACCGUCACCUUUUGAAGAGAAGGCUUACAGCUGUUUGUCAAACACACAUGGUAGGAAAAAAACAAAAACUAAUAUAAAACCGCUUAAAUUCCCAGCUGUGCAAAGACCAGCAGUUGCGUAACAUCUGGUCUCGUUCCUCUGGGGUAUUUUGUACUGGAGGCAUUUUUCUUGGCCCAUACAUCUGAUUUUUCUUGGCCUGUGCGUCUGUUUUUGAGCAUGGUCCGCAGUAGCUUUGGAAGCCCUAAUGAUGCAUUUGGUGUGAGCGCACAGUGGUCUUCUAGAGCCACGUGAGGUGGGAAUAUAUCCCCGUGCUGCUCGGGGAAGGCCUUUUAGCAGAGGAGACCGGCCGUGUGAGAAUGAGCUGUGCUCGGCCUGAGCCCUGGCGCUGCUUUUAGCAGAGGCAGGAUGGGACCCUUGUGCUGUCCCGCCUCUACGUGGCUCCUGGCUGUUGUACUGACUCAGCGCCCUGGCACCGGCCAGCACAGGCUGGUACAGAAGAGAAGAAAAGAAUGGAAAAUGCAUGGGUGGUGGGGGACAGCCUCCAGGGCAGGGUGUCCGCACUCAGUUCUUGGGCUCCGAGUCCUCAGGAUCAGGGCUGCCGUGGGCAGGAGGGCCCUCAGGGCUCGGGCUGUAAAUCCUUCGUGUGCAGCCUUGCCAGGGAGAAACGCCGCUGCUUAGCUGGUUGUUUUAGGAUGCGAUAUACAGAAAACUGAACUUUAUUAUAUCCCCCCCUGCUCCCCUUUGCCUCUCCUCGCUUCUUUUCCAGCAGUUCCUCUAACUCUGCUCCCUCCCACAGCUGGAAGUAUGUGCCUGGGGUUCAGCAGGCGUAGAAAGGAGUUUCUGUGCGAGAUGAGGAGGCAGAUCCUGGGAGUUACUGUGUGGGACUCCCUUACGCCUCAUUUCCUUGCCUUCUUCACAUAACAGCAAUUUUUAUUCUAAGACAUACACACAUUUUAUUCUAGGAAACAUAUACAUGCAUGUAUGUAUGUACUUUCUCCCUAGAACUGGAGGUGCUCAUCCCUUCCUCAUCUGAAAGAUUAAAAUAAGCACCAUCUUAUUCCCUUGUGAUUUUUCUAGUUCCUUUGAACGCUUCCAAGCAGCUCAGCAAUUAGUCACUGAAAACUUUCCACUUCCACAAGCUACCUGGGGCAGUGCAGUGCUAAAUAAGCAUGUGGCUCAGCUACUGCAGGCAAAAUUGACUGCUGGAGGGCAGGCAAGCUGCGGGGCUCGUCCCCAGAGCUGGGCUGCUGGGAUAACAGCAGCACGAGGGAUGGAUUUUGGGGUGCUACAUGCUCCCCAGUGCAAGGAGCUGUUUGGGCACGCAGGCUGUGAAUUGCAGCUGUAUGGGCCGCCCUGUGUAGGCUGGGCGAUGCAGAAAAGAGGCAGGUAUGGCUGCUAGCGCUGAGCCCACUGCUCCAGCCAGGGGCUGGUCACUGGCCUGCUGCUGACCCUGGGUCUUCACACAGAUGAGUUAGAGGAGGUGCCAGCUCAGCACCUCGUGUCCUUUUUCCUUCUUAGCAUGCAAGCACUCAGGUGUUUGUCAGGAGGAGGAAUUAAAAUAAGAUACUUAAGUCUGGAGACCUUUAGAGGUUACAGUCAUAAGGUCCUUUGCAUGCAGUGCAGGGGGUUUGGCCCAAAAGGUUCUGUGGCUGCCCAGGAGGAGGGGACUGUUGGUCUCACAGUGGUGACGGGGUGAUGCUGGUUCUUGCCCUGCCUCCGGCCCUGCUGGUUAACUCACUGAGCUGUGUUCAGGCUCCUGGAGCUGCAAGGGGGGCGUUGGGAGCCCUCCUCAUGGGCUCUGUGCUCUUUAGCAUAGACCUGGAUGCUGGCAGAGGGAAAGGAGCUGGAAGUGCAGGGAAAGCAGCAGGGUGACUGUGGGAAGGACUCGUUUUAGGAGACUGUUGUGGGGGAGAUCAAGGCUGGAGGAGGUCAGCAGCCAGCUGCUGGGGCUGGGCUCUGCUCUGGGUGGAUCCAGAUGUGACUGAGCUGCCACAUGGCCGUUUUCAACACAAAUGCUUCUGGUGGACAGAAAAGGUGUCCCCACUUGUCCGCAGCUCAGCCUCUCUAAUUUUAGCUCUUUUUCGUUCUCUCUGGUUCUGGCUGCACAUAUAUCCUGUGCACAGGGUAUGAUGCAAGCACAGCCACAUCAAUUCUCCGUGGCUGGAGAAAGGCUCACUGCAGCCGUAACCUGUCUUAGUACUUAGAGGCACAGAUCCCACAGAUCCCCCAGGCCUUUCCCCAGCCUGGGCAAGGUGAGGCUGCGGCUGAACCAAAGCACUGAUGCUAGCAAGCAAUGGGAGCUCAGUUUUUAGAGCUUUCUUCAAACCAUUGUAAUUAAAACACCUCAGAGGACGCCACUACUAUUUCCUGGAUCUUGCUGAUCUUGCUGCCUCCAAGGUGAUGCAGUCACUGUGGGCACUUCAGGGAGUGGGGAGAAAGAGUGACUGGGAUUUGUUCUCCUGGAUAAAAUGAGUUAUUUCAGCAAGCCAAAGCUGUGUGGAGGAUGGGGAGGAAAGUAACAGGUGCUCAGAGUGGAGCUGAAGGCACAUUUUUCUCUGUGGUGCUAAAAUGGUUAAUUAACAUAAUCAUCACAGAGCUCCCAGUUAAGCCAUCCGUUGCUUAGCAAACAGUUUUGGAUGUAAAUGUAGUAAAUAUUUGAUGAUGCUGUGAGAUGACGAUAAAGGCCCAGCAACCAACUGGUUCACAGCAGCACCUUCUUCUCUCCCCUAGUUCGGGCUGCUGUUCGUUUCUCCCACCCCUUGCUCCCAAGCACCAGUCUCUAGGCUUAUGCUUUUGUCAUCUGUCUUUCUGGCUACUGCCAGGCACGGGUUUCUGCACAACCCCUGGCUGUCGGCAUGCUGAUCCUCUUAGUAAUGCCGGCCCAGCUCCUAAUCAGGCUGUGCUGGGCGUCUCACACUGUGCUUCCACCCCCCAGUUUCCGAAGUGACAGCUUCAGGGCUGUGCCAUCCCCAAAGGCCUCCGCGUGCUGCUAUGGCAUACGUGGACAAAGUCUAGCACUGUCCUUCGUGAUGCUUUGUGCAUCAUGCAAAUUAAUUAUGGUCGUAAUUACCCUGUAGGACCUUUCCAGUUGGCUGAUUUCAGUUAAAGCCGUCUCCAUCUCUCCUUCUGAAUUAGUCCAAGCCCCUAUUCUUACGGGGGCCAGCAAGCCCCGCAGCUGGGCUUUGUUUUGGGUCUGUUUUUGCCUCCAGUCCUGGGUGUGCUCAAAGGUGGAGUCUAUCCCCAGCAUCAGUCCAUCAUCUGGAGCUGGUUACGCUGUGUUUGGACUGCCAGGAUGGAGCAGGGAGCCUGGCCUGCAGCAGGAAGGUGUUCUUAUUGUCAGGAGCCAGUGCUGACUCACGAACCUGACACCAGGGACAGCGUUAGGCUGAAAAACACAGUCCUGCGUUGUUUGACACUCCCAAUAUUCAUUUGUAGUUCUGCUGUUCCUCAGCUGACAUCCUGCCCCUGGACUGCUGCCCAGUCCCCUUGUGAGCCAUGGGAAGACGUCACCCAGAAAUGUGAAUUUCUGAGGACUCAAAGGCUGCACUGUUUACCCAGCUGACAGCUCCAUCUCCAUCCCCUGCCCCACUUUAAUAUCAGCGUUGUAUUCCACAGAACAAGGCCCAGUAUCCAGCAACUAAUACUUCCUGUUAAC